rnacentral:rRNA from 1 species
UGAGCAAUCUGCCCCUCUCUUCGGAAUAAGCGUGGGAAACCGCGUCUAAUGCCGAAUACGACCUCCUUUCGCAUGAUCGGAGGUGGAAAGCUCCGGCGGAGAAGGAUGAGCUCGCGGCCUAUCAGCUAGUUGGUGUGGGUAAUGGCCCACCAAGGCGACGACGGGUAGCCGGCCUGAGAGGGUGACCGGCCACACUGGGACUGAGACACGGCCCAGACUCCUACGGGAGGNAGCG